CGGCCUUGGCGUCCCCCGCCCCACCUCUCAGCCCUUCUCUUGGCCCGAGCCUUUCUCUUCAUUUUUCACUGUCAGAAAAACCUGCGAAGACCCAGGCGGGCCUAGCCUGGGGCAGGGGGUGGGCGACUGGGUCACGGGAUGCAACCUUCAGCCGCAUCUCCAGCUCUUGGAGGGUACCUGCGCCCCUCCCCCAUUCGCUCCCAGCCCCAAGUGACAAGGGGUGGAUAUAUUUGCAUAAUACCUGUAGCUCGGCCUUUGUUUCUUCCUCUGAGGACUCAGCCUAGGAGCACCGCCUCACGGUGUGGUGAUGAGGGCUGACCCAUGGAGUGUCCACAUGACAUCUUAUCAACAGGACAAGCAGGCCACACCAGGCAGGUGGAAUAGUUCUGGAAUCUGCUCGGUGCAGCCCGUCAUGGUGAAGUUGGCACCCAGGCCCACAGGUGCCAGGUCUGGGUGCCCUUAAAGGUAUCCAGUGAAAAGCUUCGAUUUGGAAUGUGGCUCUGGGGGCAAGACAAAGUCACCAUGAGUCUAAACACCCCCAGAGCCUGGCCUGACCCCUCCUCCUCUCGGUCCUGAUUCUUCCCUUCAAAGCCCCUGCGCUGGUUUCUGCACUGGCCCCUCGCCGGUCUCUGGGCUGUGGGGAGGGGUGUGUGCAGAGGCAGAAGCACCCUUGAGGGACAGACAGCCCGGCACCUCCUCCUUCCCCAUGUUCUUCACACUAGACCAGACACCCCAAGUCAGCAAGGGGCCCGCCCUCCAGGUGCACCCCUGGGACUCCAGCAGGGAGGGGUUGUGAAGGCUCUGCUCAGGUUUUAGGGCUCUCCUACAAGCAGGUCCCUGUGCUGCUUUUCAGCAUUGUUCUUGGCAGCGCGUAUAGGAGGGAGAGCAAGGCUGGCCAGGGCAGAGAUUGAAAGCGAAAGAUUUCCGAUGGCCAGGAAGCCCCUGGCCUUUCCCCAGGAUCCCCCAAGCCAAGCCCACCUCCCUCAAGGUCCCCUCCCCUUCAGAUUUGAAAUCUGGGUCUCUGCCUGUCUCAUCCCACCUCCCCUCUCCCUUCUCCCACAUCAGAGGCUCCUGUGGGGGGAGGUGCCAGGUCUGUGGGGAGGAGGACCACAGGCUGAUCAGUCCCCUGUGUCUUGUGUUGGAGGGAUGGGGCGGGCCAGUGAGUCCAAGUCUCUCCGGAUGGCAGGAAGGUUCCUAAAUCCUGAAGUUAAGAUGUUGCUUUCAUUUCUUUCAUAACUUCAUCCUUUGUUCAUUCAUUCAUUCAUUCAUUCAUUCAUCCAUCCUAUUCAACAAACAUGCAUUGAACGCCUUUUUGUAUCAGACGGUGAGCUGAGCACUGGGGAUAGACAGCUGACAAAGCCACAGUCUCCAGAAAGAGCUCCCAAUCAGGCAGAGACAAGACGCACAAGGGACCUGACCCACAGUCCCUCCUGUGAGGGACAGAACAGCCCUCCUACCCCACUGAGGAGCGCUUCCUCUAGUUGAACUGCAGAGGGGUGGGGUGAGCGCUGAUGCCCCUGCCAGAAGGAUCGCUGCAGCCCUGGGGACCCCGUGGUGGAAAGGAGCCCAGAUCUUGGGGAUUCAGAGAACCACCCCUACUCUACUCAGCCAAUCUGUCCACUGCAAAGAUAAGGAAACCAAGACCCAGAGAGGAAAUAUGCUUCUUCCAACCCACCCGAGAGCUGAAGGUAGGGCCUGGUGCCCAGCGGAGACAUCCUGAUGUCCAGGUGAGCUGGGCUCAGGACACCUUUAAGUACCAAGCCUUUAAACUCAGACCUUGCAGAAGUGGGGGUCCUUGCUUUCACACCCUCCCCUCUCAUGGCAAGUGGGCUGCUGACACACCCAGAGAGAACCAGCACGUGGACACUGUCCUACAAUAAUAAAGGCCCCUCACAGAUGCAGGUCGGUGUUAGGCGGUUUACACCUCAAACACACCUAGGAGGUAGCAAGGCAGGAGGUGCUCUUAGUCCCUAAUCAGAUGAAACAGAGGCCAAGAACGGUAACGGGAAGCCGGGCGUCAGAGCUGAGACCCACCCAGGUGUGACGUGUUUUACUCGGGCAGGUGUGUGUGAUUGGAAGUGGGUCCAGUUGGUCUGACAGGGAUUCCUGGAGGAGGAGAAUCCCUUUUGAGUCCUUGUUCGACUGGUCUUAUUAAGGACCUGCUGUGGAGAUGGCGCUGUUCUAACGUGCCCUCUGAGAGCGCCAAGAGUAGGGGGACUGGAGGGCAGGGCUGGUGUCGAGCCUGCUCAGCAUGAGCUGGAGCUCCAGGCACCACAGAGGAGGAGCGCGUGCAGUGGCUGACAGGCGGGGAAGGCCACGGGGCAGGAUGCCCUGUGUUUGUGGACAAGGGCUGGUGACAUGAAGGGGGUUCUGUGGGCAGACAGAGGUGUGUUCUGGGCAAGAUGGUGGGCUGGGCAGCAGGGUGACGGCUAGGGGCCACGCUGCUAGAGGCCUCCCUGGGAGGCUGAAGGGACUGGGGUGGGCGGUGCACCCAAUUAAAGCCACAAGGCCUCAGCCCUGUCCGUGCUCCACUCUUCCCAACCAGGGGAACCGGACAACUCACCACAUAUCUCUCAGCCUCGGGUCCCCUUAUCAAAUUCUGUGUUUAUUUCUUUUAAAGUGCUUUCCAGGUUGUAAGUCACUAGACAGAUAUGAUGGUCCGCUCUGUUGGUGAUGGGACACUUCUGAGGGCUUUGAACAGGAGCCUGAAGGAUCUCUAAGAUGCUCUGGAAAGACCCUCUGUGCCCCUGUGCAGAGUGGACUGGAGGAGAGAGGGCACGGGAAGCAGGAAGACACGUCAGAGGCAACAGCCAUCUUGCCUGAAGAAGACUAAAAGGCAACCAGGAGAGGAAGCAAUGGGGACAGAGAAGAUGGACAGGAGAGGUGUCACACGGGCUCCUUGGCCAGCUGAGCAGAGCAGCCAGGGAGAAUGGAGAGGUAAAGGUGACUCUUGGGUUUCAAGCUCAGGCCUCUAGAGAAAUGCCACCGGCUGGGAGGCAGAUUCGAAGGGGGACUGGGGGAAGGUUAAGAAGUUCACUCCUGGACGGCUUGGGUGGGAUGUGCCCUGGGGGACGUCCAGGCACCGCGUCCAGCAGGUUUGUGGAAAUGGCUCAGGGACAGUCGGAGCUCCAGCAGAGUCAUCUCAAUUGAGGUGGCAGUCAAAACUCUGGGCAAGAUGACGUCACUCAGGGAGAGGAUGCAGAAAAGGAGCUGGGAAGAAGUGAGGCUGUGCCCACCCAAGGGAAGUGGGCAUCUCAGAAGCAGGGUGCUGAGGGGUUCGGGGCUGGAAGGCAGCCGCGAGCGAGCUGAGCGGGCAGUGGCAGGAUUUGCGAUGUGAGGAGGGCAGGGUGGGGCAGAAGCACCGUCUCCGGGUAAACGCUGGAGCGGGGAGGAAAAGGUGGGGCUGUGGGAGCAGACAGGCUUUGAGGAGCUUGGCAGGGAAGAGAAUAGAAGAUGGACUGUUAGCUGCAGGAGACAGGGGUCAAAAAGAGGUUGGUUUUAGACCGCACGAUCUGAGCAUGCUCAGACCUGAGCGGGGAGCGCGGUGGCGAGGAAGAGACGAAUCGGAAGAGCUGAGUGCAGACCCCCCUCGUCACGGUCCUGAGUGGUUAAUGACCGCCCGCUGGGCGCAGAGCUCUGGAUGCCCGCAGACCUGGGAGCAGCAGCUCCCCGCCAUCUCCAAGCGCCUCCAGCCCCCACCCCUGCCCCACCUGGCACAUGGCCAGCAGCUUGUCCCACCAUGUCGCUCAUCAAUUAAAGAGUCAGCCUUCUCCCGGCACCAGCAACUCUUCAUCCGGCAGCCCGUGGCCAGGCCCCCACCCCUGACCCCAGCCCGCAGGCACCAGCCGUGGGGUUCUUGGCUUCUCUGGCCCCGAUUGCAGCCGAGGGGGUGCCUCUGGGCCGUUCACCUGCCACCCCACCGCUGCCUAGAACACCUGAAGUUGCCUCCACCAUGUCAUGAAGCCAUCAGAGCUCAGCCUCCCGGCACAGCCCACGCCAUCCCAGCCAGGACGUUCACCCCACUGUCCUGGACGCCUCAACACCACCUCUGAGGGUACAAGGGCAAGGACCCUCAGUGGGCAGAUGGGGAAAAGGAGGCAGGGAGAGGGUGUGGCUGCCUAAUGCCGCCUGUGUUCCUUCCCACCCAUCACGCAGAGCCCUCGCCCCUCAAGAAAAAGCAAUGUACCCGCUUCUUUCUGUAUGUUCUGAGAGGGUGAAGGAGGCCAUGAGGACUGGGGGAAGGAGGGACGGAAGGACAGAAAUAGAGCUGCCCGAUGAAAUUCAGGACACCUAGUUAAAAGCUUUUUUAACAGCUUCACUGAGAUAUAAUUUACAUAUCAUAAAGUUCACCCAUUUAAAGUGUA